UAGGUGAAGCAGUGGCUGAGUGGCGGAUCUAAAUGUUUCGAGAGACCUAAACAAAACUGUCAACUACAAAUAUUGAAAACCCCAUAUAAAAUAAAAAAAGGUUAUUUAUAAAUACUUGUGUACAUAAAGUGAAGAUGAUUUGAGUAGAAAACGUUUUAACUAUAAUGGCAGUACCUAUGGGUUAUGUAUUUUAUUAAAUCAAGUCACAAGCCGAGUAUAAAACAAAGUUCACAACAGUUUAGAAUAAAUGAGUCGGUGAGCGCAAGAAAAUCUAGGAGGACAUCGACCUUAGACUCUAAACCUUGAGACACCGGUGCAUUGCGCCCCUGGCGAGUCACCACUAAAUCUGACGCCGUUACGGAGAAGUAAGGACCAUAAUAUAGGACGGAGCGUGUACGGUACGAUUGAGAGUUAAUACUGUGGAAAAGUCCGAAGCGGAGAACAUAUACAAAUCCCCCGCCGUCUUUCAUUUUUUAUUCUAUAUUACGAAAUACUUCAGAGAGCUUGGAAAUUUUAAGCUAUAUGCGCGUACGCCAAAUCGAAAAAUCAAAAAUAAUCUGAUAUACCUCGCGAGGAAAUGGAAAAUAGCAUUCAAACUGUUUUUGAAAUAAACUCGGCUUACAGUAAUAAUAAUUUUUACAUUACAACGUGAUAUGUUUCAAGCGUGAUAUUAAGCUAUUUCAAAGUGAUGGAAAGCUUUUGAUCCUCAGUGUAU